UCUCCGUUGGUGAACCGGCGGAGGGAUCAUUACCGAGUUUACAACUCCCAAACCCCUGUGAACAUACCAUUUGUUGCCUCGGCGGUGCCUGCUUCGGCAGCCCGCCAGAGGACCCAAACCCUUGAUUUUAUACAGUAUCUUCUGAGUAAAUGAUUAAAUAAAUCAAAACUUUCAACAACGGAUCUCUUGGUUCUG
rnacentral:misc_RNA from 1 species